AUAUAUUAAAAAGUCUUUAACAUUUUAAAAAGUUUACUAGUUAGUCUCUCUAUUAAUUUUAUCAAUUAAGUAUUGUAAAAUAAUUUAAAAUUUCUUGAUACGGAUGAACUAAUUAGUAAAUUUUUUAAAAAUUUGAGAGAUCAACUAAUAAAACUUGUAAAAUUAUAGGGACUGAGUAGUAAAAUACUUAACGGUAAAAUUAAUGAAUGGACUAAGUAGUAGAUUUUUUAAAACGUCAGGAACGUGAGAGACUAAUUAGUGAAUUUUCUCGUAUCAUAAGGAUUAAAUAGUAAUUUUUCUUUAUUCUUUUUAGACAUAUAAUUCAAGUAACACAAAUAUCAAAAUGUCACACUGUUCACCGAUGAUUAACAUGUUAUUGAUCAUUUAUAUUAAUGUAAACUUGCUUUUAAAAUGAUUAACAUGCUAUUCAGAAAUAAUCAUGUUUUUUAUGUUUAAAAACAAUACAAAUGAUCAACAGGACUAAAACACCAGUGUAUCUUAUUAUUAUGAUAAUAAAAGACAACAAUAUUAAAAUAAUAAAAAAAUAUAAAUUAUAUUGAAAUAAAUGGGAUAAAAUAAUAAAAUUAACUUCCAUGCAAGAAAUAAAAUAUUAUAUAUAUAUAAACAAAGAUUUUAGUUUAAUUUUUUCAUACAAUAGAUGUAAAUUAAUUACAAUUCAACACUAAAUAUCGACUAUGUUUAUAUAUUUUAUAGUAAAAAACUAUACAUUUAUAAAUAUCUUUCAUUGCACUUAGGUAAGACAAGCAAGACAAUAACAUAGUAAAGAUUAAUUAUUUUACGAAAUCACUAAAGUUAAAAAUUUUACAAAAUCUAUAGUAUAUAUUGUAACAUUCUCAGAUCCAUAAUUAGGAAUAGUAACAUCACUAGGUAUGAGUUAGGCUAUUUCACCAUUAGAGCAAGUGAAAUUAGAGAAGGUACUAUGAGUUAGACUAUUUCACUAUUAGAGCAAGUGGAAUUAGAGAAGGUACUAGCUCACCCUAAGCUACUUAGAGAAGGUGCUAGCAAACUACUAAUAACUGAAUCAUAGAAAACUCAAAUAAGAAAACGGACAUAUCGAGAAAUAAAGUAGACAGUGUGAUCAGCGAGUCGAAAAUGAGUUACUUUCGGGAGGUGCUUAGUGUUUCCUGACAUGCUCGCUUGAGAUGUUUGUUAAAAUCGGACAUACUUACCUAAGUGAAAUGGACUUCUAAAGGCUAAAGUAUAAUUUAGUAUGUCAAUCUAUAAAUAUUGGAAGUUUGAAAUUAAAUUGAAACAUGGUAAAGAGUUUAGUAUGUUAAAGUAUGAAUAUGGAAAGUUUAAAGGAAAAAUUCAAUUUUAGUCUUUCAUUUUUCCACCUCUUCACCUGAACCCUCCAUGUGUCAUCUAACUAAGCAUGAAAGAAAUGACCAAGAAAAUAAAAAAAGGGUUGUCUUCUUCCACCAUUCUUAUAGCCAAAGCUUAUGCUUGAAAACCAAAAUCUUUUUUUUUUUUCUUUCUUCCACCAAAUCCAAGCCAAUCUCUCACCAAAUCAACUUCUUUCUUUAACCAAAAUUUACCUAUGAUCAAAAGCUAAAGAAAGAGUCAUAUAUUGAAAAAAAAAUAAAGAAUAAAAGUUUAGGAUUCCAUAUGCACCAAGUUUGAAAAUCAAAAGUGAGCAUAGAAAUAUGUAUGAAAUAGUAUCUUCUCACUUCUUCAUACAUGAAUUUGAAUUAUAAAGCUUUAAUUUUCAAUUUAUUCAAUCCUUCCCUAAGAUAUAAAUUGACCUAGGUGAAGGAACAUUAAAGGGAAAGGAGAUAGCUAGAGAGAAGAAGUGAAAAAAAAAGAGAAAUUCAAGAAAGGUUUGGUGUUUAUAUGAUUUUCUAUUUUCAUUUGAUUUUCUCAUGAAUAUGUGAAAUUAGGGAUUGAUUUUACUUUUUAAAAAUAUUGCUUUGAUUUAUAAAUAUGUAAUAUGAAUGUUGAAAUAGCGUCUGAAAGGUUAAAAAAAAAGUGAUCUAACAUGGGAGUUAAAAGUGCAAACCUGACAGGAUAAAUUUUAACAGGGCAACAUGUAUUAGCAGCUUCAUAACUUAUUGUGUAGUUAUUAAAAUUAGGCCUAAAACAAACCAAAUAAAAGAUGAGACAAAGAGCAUUUGAAAGGUAAGAUGAAUAUGUGAAAUUAGGGAUUAAUUUUACUUUUUGAAAUAUUGUUUUGAUUUAUAAAUAUGUAAUAUGAAUGUUGAAAUAGCGUUUGAAAGGUUUAAAGAAAAGUAAUCUAAUAUGGGAGUUAAAAGUGUAAACCUAAUAGGAUAGAUUUUAACAGGGCAACAUGUAUUAGCAGCUUCAUAACUUAUUAUGUAGUUAUUAAAAUUAGGCCUGAAAUAAACCAAAUAAAAGCUGAGACAAAGAGAUAAAACUUUUAUGAAUUAACCAAAUUCUUAAUCUGUAGGUAAGAUGAUGUAAAUUGCAAGUAAACUUAAACCGGACACAGUGAUAGAGCAUGCGGAACAGAUUAUAUUGAUUAUACCAUAACUAAUUUUAUACUUAAUAAAAUUAGUUAAAACCAGUGCCAAAUGAAUCUUAAGAAAUAUACCUAAAACUUUAUAGAAGACACUUGAGAUUGAAUUUGUAUGAAAAUAUAUGCAUUUGAUAUAUUUUGUGAUACUAUAAAAAGUAUCAAUACUAGACUGAUUACGACCUUAUUGAGCAGCUUAUAAAAAAGAAAUUCAUAACUUAAGCUUGGGUGAUCAAAUUUGCAUAAAUUAUACUUGUUGGAAAGAUAAGACAUAAAUGCACAAUUGUUUUGAAGAAACUUAAAUCAAAUUGUAACUUUAAAGUGCUUGAAAAGUUGAUGCAAAAUAUGACAGAAUGCAGCCAUCUUGAAUUGGAAUGCAUAAAAAUUGAUAUUCUUGCUUAAUUAUUAAGAAUUACGCACGUGCUUGCUUAUCGUACGUGAUUUUUGCACGUGCUUACCUAAUAAUAAAACUUGUUUGUGCAUGAUAAUUUGAGUAAACUUACCAUUCUUUACUUGUUAGUGGUAUGAAAUGCAAGAAGUGAAUUGACUUGACGCAAUAUUGGAAUGCUAAGUCAACAAAGUUUUACACUAUGUGCCAUGAGUUUCUCAUCUUGUUAAUCUUGGGAUAUGAUAUAUGUAUUUUGAAAAUGAUUUUAAACACUUAAAAUGACGUGUAUUUACAUGAAAAAAAAUUAAUACAUUAAAUCAAUUAUACUUGACUCUAGUAAACUUAACAGGAGAUGAGGUUAGCUUAAGGGUAUGACAUGCCAUAUAAACAUACAAAGUGCACAGUACUGCUAUCGAUACAUGAUCUAUAUUUGAGGUUACAUAUCAAGUACCUCAUAAGCAUAGCCAUAAAACCAUACUAUCAUAGUUUUAACCUUUGAGCCUACCGUUGAGCACCCUAUGCCCACCGUUAUAACUCCUUAUCUAAUUAGUCGACCUUACUAUAUGUUUAUAAGGGCUGAGAACCUAAUGAAGAUUGAUGCUUGAUUUUUGUGAAAUUAUUAGUGAAUGUUAACAUGUUUGUAUCUAUUACAUACACGAAACUAUGGUAAUUUACUAUGUAUAUAAAAUGUGUAAUAGUGGCAAAAGAAGAUGUUUUAUUGAAUCUUAAAGAAAUUCUUGGCGUGCAUAAGGAUAUAUAUCGCACUCCUAUCUUAUACCAAGAAGUUUGACAAGUAUUCUUUCUAUCAUGUUAACUACACUUUACAUGCUUAUAAUUGUUUACUUAAUUAUCUAUAUACAUUAAUAUACUUGCUCUAUUUCAUUAUUUGUUUGCAAUCACCCACUGAGCAUUAACUUAGCGUAUUGGUGUUUACCUCACAUAAGUUGCAGAUAAAGUAAUCACCGCUGAGAUCGUCAGAGAUCAACAUCAAACAUUAAGACUUUAUCAUAACUGGUUGUUUGAGUCUCCGAGUCAUUGUACAGUUUUAUUUUUCCAUGUAUAUAUUAAAUAAAAUGGGUUAUGAAGGUUAUGUAAAUUAAAAUAAUGUAAUCAUGUAUGGAUAAAAAAAAAGAGUAAAUGUUUGCAUGUGAUGAUAUUCAUGGAAAAAUAAGGGAUGAUAUUGUUAUGAAAUAUGUGCUAAAUUAAGGAAUAAUAUGAUAGUAAAUGACAGUUGAGAGUAUAAUUAUAAAUGUAUUUUUCAUAUGUACUACAGAUUGAAAUGCUGAUAAAACAGAGGAAACUCUAUCAAAAUUUAGUUUAAAAUCUCACAUUUACCUUACUUACUUUAUGAAAUUUACAUGGAUUAUCUAAUAACUUGAUAAUUACACAUAAAAGAAAUUGUUUAGUUUUGAAAUAUCUAAGAAAGUAUAAUUUGUGAUGAUUUUUGCUCUAUCUACGCCUUGUUAAGGUAAGGGGUUUUACGUAUAUAAUAUUAUAAAUAACUAAUCUUAUCGAAUAUAAAAUAAUAUUUUUAUCGAAAAUAAAAUUAAUGUGAAAAUAUUAAAGUACAAAUAAUCUUUUAAGAAUAAUAUUGAAAGUUAAGAAAUAUUAUAUACAUAUCUUUUUACAAACACAAUAACAAAUAAAUUAAAUUAGUUUUAACUAAUUAAAAAUUAAUAAUUCAAUAAACCAAAAUAAUAAUACUAGAAAUUAAAUAUCUUAAAAAUUUAAUUUAACAAAUAAAUUAUUAGGCGCUAAAGAUCAUUAUUAACAUAAAUUUCAUAAUUAGAAGUGAUAAAUAUUUUCCUCUUCCUGGUCCAUGAUAGAUCUGGUUUUCCUCUGGGUCCUUUCUUGUUGGGCUCCCUGAUGGGUCUCUCCAUGUUCUACCUGGUGAAAGGACCUGUAAAUAAGAAAGAAUGGUCAGGGGCCUACCGGGUGUGCCCCGGCAGAGGCCCUCCGACGCUCAAGUCAGAUUUUAUGGCUCAGAGUAGUAUAUUUAGGCAAGGGUUACAGUAAGAAUAAAAAUGGUGUCCAGGAAGGAGAAGGAAGAAGAAGAGAGUCCCCUCUGCGUGGCCUCUAC
rnacentral:lncRNA from 1 species